rnacentral:misc_RNA from 1 species
AAAGUAAUACAAUUAUUUUGAAAUUUGAGGCCCCUUCUCCCUUGCCUAGCAAAACACACUACCAAGCUACAACACAUCCCAUUCCCCCAGUCUGAUAUUGUAGAGGGCGCCAAACAAAGGGCUUUAGCGCCUAUUAGCUAUUCUAGCCAAGGCCACAAUUCGCAAAGCCCACUUCAACUUUCACUGGAUCCCAACCAACAAAAGAAAAGGAGCCUUUAUUAGUUUCCCCCUCGACCAUUUUCAAAACAGCUCGGCAAAAUGAAGGAAAACAAAGACAGGUUUUUUUGCUCCCCUCUUGUCCCUCCAAUUACUCGACUUUUCAAAUAGACCCUGACGAGGGGGAGGAGGGGCGCACAUAAUGGGCGGUGAACUCAUAACUACCUUUUGAAAUAACCAUCACUAACGGCUAUAUGAGAAAGGCUAGCGGGACAAAGAUACUAAC